CAAGGAGAGUUCUAGCGGACGUUGGUUCCAGCGGACGUUGGUUCUAGUGGACGUUGCUAAUCAAACACCUGGUAUCGGCAGCAAUGAUUGUUCUUUUGGCUGAGCCAGGAACCAAGAUUCCGCCAAACACAGGUUGGAGUGCCUUCCUCAUCUUGCCACAGACAGCUUUGAUGAUGUUCUGCCCAUGAGAAGUGAUCGUUUUGGAGGCCAGCAAGCAUCAAAAUCCAUCUCACGUGGAAGUAUCUGUUUGUAAGAUGUUAGCCUUGGCCUAUAGGACAGACGAGAUCAAACUCAACAGUGAAUUCCUAUUGUCAGCAUACAACUCCUUUAACAUCUCUUGGCUUCUCAAAUGUGGCAGACAGUCCUGACUCUCCAUCUUUCAUAACAUCCCCUGUGAUAUGGGGUCAACAGUAAGGACAGCUGUAUCUAAGUAGCCAAGGACAAGAAAAACCAAAGUAUAGGAUUGUUGUACAGUGAUGUCUUCAGAUAAAUGACCCAAAGGCAAAGCUGGAAAAUUGUCACCAUCAAAAUGGAUUCACUUUUCUCAUCGAUAUCCAAAGACUACAGAUACAGUAGGAAACCAGAUUUCCUUAGAAAUUAUACUUGUGGAUAGCUUGAUCUAGGACUGAACAGCAUGCAUAAAUAUGAAAUAUAAUUUUGUGUUGUUGAGGAACUCCAGCCUAUGGAAAUUUUGUCACAGUAAUCUGAGCUGAUUAAAUUAGUAUGCUUGCCA